CAAAGAAUAGUUUAAAGAAAACACCAGUUUUGGGGAUUGGAGAUCUAUUUAGAUAGCUUUUUGA
rnacentral:tRNA from 1 species